GGGCGCUUGGCUCAGGGGGAGAGCGCUUCCUUGACACGGAAGAGGUCGGCAGUUCAAAUCUGCCAGUGCCCACCA
rnacentral:tRNA from 1 species